rnacentral:rRNA from 1 species
CACAUGCAAAGUCGAGGGGGCAGCGGGGGGCGGAAAGCUUGGUUUCGCCCUCCGGGCGACCGGCGCACGGGUGAGUAACACGUAUGCAACCUGCCCCACCGCAGGGGGAUAAGCCGGAGAAUUCCGGUCUAAUUACCGCGUAACAUCCCCGGGAGACAUCUUCCGGGGAUCAAAGGAAGCGAUUCCGGCGGUGGAUGGGCAUGCGGCGCAUUAGCUAGUCGGCGGGGUAACGGCCCACCGAGGCGACGAUGCGUAGGGGUUCUGAGAGGAAGGUCCCCCACACUGGUACUGAGACACGGACCAGACUCCUACGGGAGGCAGCAGUGAGGAAUAUUGGUCAAUGGGCGGAAGCCUGAACCAGCCAAGUCGCGUGAGGGAAGACGGUCCUAUGGAUUGUAAACCUCUUUUGUCAGGGAGCAAGAAGGGAACGUGUUCCCGAGUGAGAGUACCUGAAGAAAAAGCAUCGGCUAACUCCGUGCCAGCAGCCGCGGUAAUACGGAGGAUGCGAGCGUUAUCCGGAUUUAUUGGGUUUAAAGGGUGCGUAGGCGGACGGUUAAGUCAGCGGUAAAAUCGAGAGGCUCAACCUCUUCCGGCCGUUGAAACUGGCCAUCUUGAGUGAGCGAGAAGUAUGCGGAAUGCGUGGUGUAGCGGUGAAAUGCAUAGAUAUCACGCAGAACUCCGAUUGCGAAGGCAGCAUACCGGCGCUCAACUGACGCUGAAGCACGAAAGCGUGGGGAUCAAACAGGAUUAGAUACCCUGGUAGUCCACGCAGUAAACGAUGAAUACUAAUUGUCCGGCCCGAUAGAGGGCUGGGUGAUACAGCGAAAGCGUUAAGUAUCCCACCUGG